GGAAGGAUCAUUAACACUCACAACGUGUUUAUCAAAACACCAAAUCAUCAUCGAUUUCAUUUUCAAGUACCCUGUCCGGGUUCGCCCCGCCGUGCCUCGUGCUCGGCAGGUGUGAGCCUGUUGACCCCCCCCCCCCCAUUUUUUUUUACACCCUUCUUUCUUCGGAAAGCACAUCGGUCUGCAAAGACUGAUCAAUUUCAAUACCAAAUAAGUUUGUUUACGAACUAAACAAAAAUUCCUAGACAACUUUUGGCAGUGGAUAUCUUGGCUCUUGCAUCGAUGAAGAACGCAGCAAAUUGCGAUAACUAAUGUGAAUCGCAGAAUCCUGUGAAUCAUCAAAACUUUGAACGCACCUGGCAGUUAAGUCCCUUCGGGGAAUUAACUAUGUCUGUUUGAGAAUUGGUACUCUCUCUCAACAACCGCCCUUGUGGUGGUUAAUGUUGGAGGCUGAAGGUGAGCCGCACCCAACUUCGGUUGGCUGCCGCUCUCCUUUUAAUAGCACACACACGAAAAGCAUUCAUCGCGUAAGUGACCUUUCCUGCAUACCAAACGCAGCAGAAGUCCCGCAAUGCCUAUAUUACAAUAUAAGCAUUUGUGGAUCACAUGACUGAUACUGCGGCUCGAGAGUGUUUUCCCUUUCACGAACCGUCUGUUUCUCGGCGUACCAACCUUCUCCUUGGCAGGAAAUUAUUCGGCAGGCAACUGCUGAUGUUUUUCCACACCAUUAAUCUCAAAUCAGACAAGAGUACCCGCUGAACUUAAGCAUAUUACUAAGCGGAGGAAAAGAAACUAACUAGGAUUCCCUCAGUAGCAGCGAGUGAACAGGGAAAAGCUCAAAGUUAAAAUCGGUAAGGGUUUCCCGAGCCGAGUUGUACUUUGCAGAGGUGAUUCUGGGUGGCGCCGGGUAUAAGUUUGUCUCAGAAUGCGGCAUCAAAGAGGGUGAAAAUCCCGUAUUUGACCCGGAAAGUCCAUUCAACACGGAUCACCAUCGAAGAGUCAGGCUGUUUGGGAUUGCAGCCCUAAGUGGGUGGUAAGAUUCAUCUAAGGCUAAAUAUUUGCAAGAGACCGAUAGCGAACAAGUACCGCGAGGGAAAGAUGAAAAGAACUUUGAAAAGAGAGUGAUAAUAGUCCUUGAAACUGCCAAAGGGACAAGCGUUAGGAACUGUUGUUGCGGCCCGGAUCUGUUUUCCAAAGUGCACUGCCUGAGGUACUAGGAGUUCUCAAAGACCCUUGCCUCGGGAUUUGAUGUACUUUGGAGGGCGUCUGAUCCGAGCUGCCGGUCAACUACACUUUUGUUCAGCCUCCUCCAAGGUGCGGGAAGUUUUUCCUGUGCUGGAAAGGAGUGGCCUUGAGUGCGAUCCGCUGUCCCCUCCGGGGCCGGACUGGUGGGUCAGAACUGUGAUUGGUAGGGUGGCUACCUUGGUGACUCUGCUUGCAGGAUCAUCUCGGUUUAGUUGUCUUGCUGGUUGUGGCUCUCCCAUUAGAGGUUGACUCCCCCACGGUUUCUAACGUCCCGUCUUGAAACACGGACCAAGGAGUCUAGCAUAUAUGCGAGUAUUCGGGUGGUAAACCCAUGAAUGCGCAAUGAAAGUGAAGGGGCCCUGUCGGGCUCUGAGGUAGGAAUCCUGUCCCUCGGGGCAGGAGGCACUAUCGACCGAUCUGGAUGUUUUUUUGAAGGAUUCGAGUUAGAGCAUAUCUGCUAGGACCCGAAAGACGGUGAACUAUGCCUGUAUAGGGUAAAGCCAGAGGAAACUCUGGUGGAAGCUCGUAGCGAUACUGACGUGCAAAUCGUUCGUCAAAUAUGGGUAUAGGGGCGAAAGACUAAUCGAACCGUCUAGUAGCUGGUUCCCUC
rnacentral:misc_RNA from 1 species